rnacentral:ncRNA from 18 species
GGGUAGCUCAGGGGUAGAGCAGUGGAUUGAAAAUCCUCGUGUCGGUGGUUCGAUUCCGCCCCC